AUGCGCCCACCGUGUACCAGCACGGCGUGCACGUCGGCGUCAAGGGCCAGUAUGACGGGCCCGUGGUGCUCCGCUACUUCCAGCUCUGCGGCGAGGACUACCGGUGGUUGUGGAGGUCGUACUUACCUGACGGCCGGCUCGUCGGCGCUCUACCUCUUCCUCUGCGCCGCCUUCUACUUCUUCGCCAAGCUGGACACCACCAAGGUGGUCUCCGGCGCGCUCUACUUUGGCUACAUGCUCGUCGCCUCGUACGCCUUCUUCACCCUCACCGGCACCGUCGGCUUCUACGCCUGCUUCUGCUUCACCAGCCUCAUCUACUCCUCCCUCGAGAUCGACUAG
rnacentral:rRNA from 1 species